rnacentral:rRNA from 1 species
GACGAACGCUGGCGGCGUGCCUAAUACAUGCAAGUAGAACGCUGAAGGAGGAGCUUGCUUCUCCGGAUGAGUUGCGAACGGGUGAGUAACGCGUAGGUAACCUGCCUGGUAGCGGGGGAUAACUAUUGGAAACGAUAGCUAAUACCGCAUAACAGUAGAUAUCGCAUGAUAUCUGCUUGAAAGGUGCAAUUGCAUCACUACCAGAUGGACCUGCGUUGUAUUAGCUAGUUGGUGAGGUAACGGCUCACCAAGGCGACGAUACAUAGCCGACCUGAGAGGGUGAUCGGCCACGCUGGGACUGAGACACGGCCCAGACUCCUACGGGAGGCAGCAGUAGGGAAUCUUCGGCAAUGGACGGAAGUCUGACCGAGCAACGCCGCGUGAGUGAAGAAGGUUUUCGGAUCGUAAAGCUCUGUUGUAAGAGAAGAACGGGUGUGAGAGUGGAAAGUUCACACUGUGACGGUAUCUUACCAGAAAGGGACGGCUAACUACGUG